UACGUAGGGGGCAAGCGUUGUCCGGAUUUAUUGGGCGUAAAGAGCUCGUAGGCGGUUUGUCGCGUCUGCUGUGAAAACUCGAGGCUCAACCUCGGGCUUGCAGUGGGUACGGGCAGACUAGAGUGCGGUAGGGGUGACUGGAAUUCCUGGUGUAGCGGUGGAAUGCGCAGAUAUCAGGAGGAACACCGAUGGCGAAGGCAGGUCACUGGGCCGCAACUGACGCUGAGGAGCGAAAGCAUGGGGAGCGAACAGG
rnacentral:rRNA from 1 species